rnacentral:tRNA from 1 species
GCCCAGCUGAGCUCCGGUGGUCCGGUGUGCAGGCUUCAAACCUGUAGCUGAUUAACGUCAGAGUGGUUCGAUUCCACCUGCUGGGUG